UACAGAGGUCUCAAGCGUUUGUUCGGAUUCAUUGGGCGUAAAGGGUGCGUAGGCGGCGCGGUAAGUCGGGUGUGAAAUCUCGGGGCUUAACUCCGAAACUGCAUUCGAUACUGCCGUGCUUGAGGACUGGAGAGGAGACUGGAAUUUACGGUGUAGCGGUGAAAUGCGUAGAUAUCGGAAGGAACACCGAGUGGCGAAAGCGGCUUCCUGGUCCAGCACCGACGUUCAGGCACGAAAGCGUGGGGAGCAAACAGGG
rnacentral:rRNA from 1 species